CCAUGCCAGGCAGACCCCAGACGGACUUUCCUAGCAAUUGGACUCCUAUUAGACUUCGCCAACUAAAAGUCUUCAUCCGAGUCUCUAUAGCAGAUGGUUCUCACCUGUAACCUUAGCACCCAAGGCCUCCGACCACAGUAGGCUCGUCAACGACCUCAGAAACAUUCGAGCUUCUACUGUAUCGAUGAGAGAGAGCCAUUUCUCUCCCUCAG
rnacentral:lncRNA from 1 species